rnacentral:rRNA from 1 species
GAUGAACGCUGGCGGCGUGCCUAAUACAUGCAAGUCGAGCGAACGGACGAGAAGCUUGCUUUUCUGCUGUUAGCGGCGGACGGGUGAGUAACACGUGGAUAACCUACCUCUAAGACUGGGAUAACUUCGGGAAACCGGAGCUAAUACCGGCUAAUAUUUUGAACCGCAUGGUUCAAAAGUGAAAGACGGUCUUGCUGUCACUUAUAGAUGGUUCCGCGCUGCAUUAGCUAGUUGGUAAGGUAACGGCUUACCAAGGCAACGAUGCAUAGCCGACCUGAGAGGGAGAUCCGCCACACUGGAACUGAGACACCGUCCAGACUCCUACGGGAGGCAGCAGGAGGGAAUCUUCCGCAAUGGGCGAAAGCCUGGCUGAGCAACGCCGCGUGAGUGAUGGAGGUCCUCGGAGCGUAAAACUCUGUUAUUAGGGAAGAACAUAUGGGUAAGUAACUGUGCACAGCUUGACGGUACCUAAUCAGAAAGCCACGGCUAACUACGGGC